rnacentral:lncRNA from 1 species
UCGGCCGGUCAGCGCACGCGCGUAGGUGUGCCUGCCAGGAUGCCCUCCCCGGCGACGCGCUCAGGCCCGGAUUCCGCGGCGCGAGAGUGAGCGCUGGCGGGGGCGGUGGGAUGCUCCAAGUCGGCGUGAAAGAGGCGAGAGUGGGCGAGCACGGGCGGCCGGACCAGGAGCACUCCCGGUGACCACCUAGUCUCCAUUUUAUUUCCUCGGAAACUGCCGGGCAGGCGGGGGACCGGCCGCAGGGCGGGGUUUCUCUUGGCGAAUUGUUUCCUGCCAGCGGCAGCCGAGCUGCGUUCACGCGCUGAUCGGAGAAUGAGUGACAGUCCCAGCCUCAGCACACUCGCAACUCGGAGAUCCUUGCGCUGGCCCGGAGAGACAUACAACACCCUUCAGCAGAUCCCCUGGGAAGGAGGUGGGAAGAGACUUAAGUUAGAAGAAAACUCCGAUGUUUGGAAGAGAUUUCCAGAAAUAACCCGAAGAAAAUGUUUUCCUGUUUAUAAAUUCUGAAAUCUGUGGUCUCUUUAUUAAAAUAGCCAGGCUUUUAUAUAGGUAUUAUGAUAUAGAAGCGUCAUUAAAUAAUAUUUUCUUACAUGGGGACGUGACCUUAAUUCUUAAAGAUAUUAAUGUAUAAUAUUACUGAGGUACCAACACAAUAGGCUUUAAUUAAAAUUCCACCCGUGUUUUCAAAAGUAGGGGGUGGAGAAAGCGGGGUGAAAAGAAUCAUGUCUCAGCACCUGAAGGCUUGGGUAUGUAAGGAACUAAUGUGAGAAAGGUGUUCUAGAUGUCAGGUUAACCCAUUAGCCUAGAACACUGAAACCCUCUAACAGAGGAAGUCUGCAUAAGUUCAAAGGCAUUAAAGCACUAAUGUUACCGGGUACUCCGUUUUUCUUCAAAGGUCGGCCUCCCCACUCCUGUAGCAGGUUUUUUGUUUUGUUUUGUUUUGUUUUGUUUCUGUUUUGUUUUUUUGAGAUGGAGCCUCGCUCUGUCGCCCAGGCUGCAGUGCAGUGGCGCCAUCUCUGCUCACUGCAACCUCUGCUCCCGGUUCAAGCGAUUCUGCUGCCUCAGCCUCCUGAGUAGCUGGGAUUACAGGCGCGCGCCACCACGCCCAGCUAAUUUUUGUAUUUUUAGUAGAGACGGUGUUUCACCAUGUUGGUCAGGCCGGUCUCGAACUCCUGACCUCGUGAUCUGCCCACCUCAGCCUCCCAAAGUGCUAGGAUUACAGCCGUGAGCUACCGCACCCAGCCGCUGUAGCAGUUUUUAAAAGUCCAUCCUCUACUGUCAGGACAUCCAUCCUUAUUGGACAGGCCCCAUCUCUUCCCCACUUUCCUCCUCUAUAAUAGACCAAGUGGGCCACACCAGUACAGUGUAAUUAGCUUGGACCCCUGAAAAGUAUUUCUUCCCCCAAGUAAAUCUUCCACAACGUUUACUUUGGGCUAUUUCUCUCAUUCCAAGUAUAAACAAUUCAAAAGUACAGAAAAGUAGAAAGAACUAAAAAUAACCCCAAAUCCCACAGAUUCCAGAGAUACUCAUAGAUUUUGUCUUCUGUAUGUGCAUAUGAUUUUUAUAAUUGACAUAUUAUAGUAGCAAUUUGAAUCCUGCUGAUUUUGCCUAACAUCAGUAUAAGCAUUUAUUCCUCUGGAUCAUUAAAAAGCUUUUCUAGAUAUUUUUAUAGCUAUGUAAUAUUUCUUCAUAUGGAUGAUUUUGCAAUGGUUUCCCCAUUUUUGCAUAUUUAUAUUGUUUGUGGAGUUUGAUAAUAUAAAUAAGGCUUUUUUGAACAUCUUUCAACAAAUAUUUGCGGAGCAACCACUGGGUUUAGCCCUGUGCUAGAUGCAGUGAAUUAUAUACGUCUUUUUUUAAUGGUUGCUGUAUUUAAGUGUCUUUGAUUUCAGACUUCUGCUUCUAACAUCUAAAAUCACCACAUUAAAUAUUACAGAUUUAUGUAAAUGAAUGUUAUCAGACUCUUUCCUUAAAAAAGAGGUUUUGAUGGUGAGGAAAGAUAGAGAGAACAGGCAGG